GGCCAGGCAGGGAGAGCCUGGAAAGAGCCCUGACUAAGAUGGAAUAGCAUGCAGAAGUUUGUGCUGUGAAGAACUGCCCCUAAGAAAUAUCACUGAGAAGACCACAGGGAGCAGGAUUGGUUUCAGGUAUAAACCAGAAAAAGUUCUAAUCAUAUUUGGUGCCAGUGAGGCUUUCCUGGUGGGCAGCACAGCUGCAUCCCGUGUUCCCACCCUCAGGUACGGAUGUUGUGCCACAGGACUCACGGAAGUAGUGUCCACUGCGGAUCUGCAUUGAGAGAAUUUUAAACCUUAAAGGCAGAGCUUUUAAAAGAUUGAGUGUUUCUAUGACAAUAAAGACAUGAACUUUGAAGACUUAUAGCUAAAAUAACAAGAUGAUGAUGAAACCAUAGUUGUCACCAAAAGGAAGAGCAAAUUCCAAGUACUUUUUGCUUUCUUGAAAUUUGUCAUCUUUUUGUCAAUGAAGCUGCCAGAAGAAACUAAACAAGUGUAUUGGGAUGCACUGAGCAGUUUAAAGUCCAUCAAGUUUCUCAAGAGAAAAUGACUUUCUUACUCUGCUGGAGAGUUUACAAGCAGUAUUAAAGACAUGGAGGGAAGAGAUGAAGUAGGACCCAAGAUUAAAUGUGACCAGGAUUUGGAACCAGUAUUGAAGAAAUGGGAUGGAAAUAAGCAGAGAAGUACAUAGAGCCACAACCUGAAGGCCAGUUCCACAUAAACCAAAUGUAAAUAAAAGAUAAGUUUCUGUCUGUGGAUUGGCUACAGGGGAAGGUACAAGGAAGCAAGGAAGAUCAAUGUGUGUACUUUGUGUACUAUGGUGUACAGAAUGAUAUCCAGGACCGGUACAUGUGGCAGGAUAUUCUGAUACAAACCUCAGCUCUAUCAAGACUGCAAGAAAUGAUGCACAUUGAGAAAUCCCUGUGGCUCAGGUGCACCUACCUUGGGGACAUAGCUGAAAUAUAAUAGUUACAAUAGUUCUUCCCUUUGCCUCAGGUACCCAAACCCCUGGAUGCAGCAAGGAAUUUAGAUUUAUAUGGUGUCAGAUCCCAGCAAAGAGAAAUCAGGAACUGGUUCAGACUCCUUCCUAUUUUGAAGCUAAAAAAUUAUGGUCCAGAGCACUCAGAGGCUUGGGCUUCAUUCAACUCCCUUAUCAGAAACUCCUUAACUGUUUCUGUCAUCUCUGAAUGGGGAAUAAAACUGAUCCUAUUAUUUGGUAUUUCUAGGUCAAUAUCUGAUCCUCUGCUGGGAAAAACUGAAAUCCACGGACACUUAAUGCUAGCAGACAAUCUUAAUUUUUCUCCUUCAGCUACAAGGAAAAAUAUGGAAAACCCCAUAGGGAGAACAAGAAAAGUUAAGCAAUCCAUUUGUGAAGCUGGGAUGUGGUAGGCAGAAAGGCUGCUGGAGAGCCUGGGAAGUCACUGGUUCCAGAUGCCUUGCUCUCUCUGUGUGCCAGCAGCAAGUGUAGGAGUACUUCGGGCUAAUCUGGACUACUGUGGGGUUCUUUUACCCCUUUGGAGUGUGUGGUUUCUUCCAGUCUGUUGUGCCAGCUGCCACAAGGGCUGUAGCUGGAGGAGAAUGCCUCUGACACCAGCCUGCCUUCAGCAGCAAACCCCUGCCUCUGUCCCAGGGCAGCAUCACAGUGCCAGGGCUGGCAGAUCCAGGAGAAACUCCCAUGCCAGCCCCUCUCAAGCAUGAACUGCAAUAACUUUUAUUCCUGCAAGUCUGCAUGACGCCCAUAAUUUAUUCAUCCCAAGAUGUAUUCAUCCAUCCAUUAUUUAUUUGCAUUUGUUUUACUACUAUCAUUACAAUUUCAUAAACUGAAGCCUAGAGAAGGACAUGGGAAGUUAAAGGCAGAGGUAGUUGCUGGACAAAGACCCUGGGCUUGCUUCUCCUUGGUUUCUGGCUGCCUUCAGGGGUUGUGUGAAGACAUAACACAGAGUAAGCAAAACAUCUCCUCUCUCUGUUCUCUUCAGCAGUUUGGUGGAAAUCCUUUCGGCCCCUAAAUUCCUCUCUGCAGUCCUUUAUACUCUGUGGAUAUGGUGAGGACACUGGAAUGUAGUGACAUGGUAGUCAGUGCUGCCAUGUAUGAAAGCCAAGAGAAAGGCAGGGAUAGAUGGGGAAGGAAUGUUGGUGCUGCAGGUUACAUCUUCCCUCCUGAGUGCAUUCUGAGGGAGCAGGUUUCUGUUUCUCUGAGCAGGAGGAAUGAACUGCCCUAAGGUCUACUUACACAAUAACCAUAUUUAGGUUUACUAUUUCUGCCCAUGAUGAAGUGUGGGGAUUCCGAGGGAAGUGGGAGAUUGUGUUGAAAGGAGUGGGUGGAAAAUCCUGUGUAAAACAUUCCCUCCCUGGCGCCCAAAACUUCCUAAGGAAUCAUUUUAAGCCUUUUCAAUCAGCCAGAUAUUCACUUCAUGCUACAAAAUCACAAAUUUGUUAUUCAAUUUAUAGGAGAACUAAACUUUGAAAAAUAAAGCAAAAGAAUUGGUAUUUCACUUCUAUAGAGGAGAAAAAACAAUUGCCAUAAAAUUAGAUGGCGGCGUAUAUACCUUUUAUGUAAAUCAGGAUGAGAGGCUAAGUAAAAAUUCCUUAGCAUGAAAAGUGGACUGUUUCAGAUUAUAUAUGUUCUGGAUUUUUAAAGGACAACUUCUCUGUAGCUUUGUGUAAAACAACUGCAGAUGUUGAAAAACAUGAAUCCAACAAAAUCAAAUCAAGGUCUUAGAGAUGAAAAUUUAAUCAGGAAAAAGUCACUAAAUAAUACAUGUUAAUGCCAUAGAUAUUUGAACAUUUGUUGCGCAAUAUAUGAUACACAGAGUUGUUCUUACAACAGAAGGUUAUAUAUUCUGAGGGGCUUUCUGCACAUAAGCACAGAUGAGAAGAACAGCUGUGAGAUGGAGGAGCAAAAGUUGGCAUCCCCUGUUCUCUCCUCAAUAACUGUAGGAAGUGUGUUUUGCUGAUUGCUAGGCAUGGAUGAACACACAGGAUCUAGGUCCAGCAGAUCUGGGGCAUUGUCUGUGUAACCAAGUGUAACCAAGAAGAAAAUGAAAUUUUAUACACUAUUCUUUUUCUUGGGUAUCCUUACUGUAUUAUUUUUAUUAGAUUUUAAGGGUUCCCUGGUUAGCUCUGAUUGCAUUAACAACCUUAUUUCCCCAUUAUUGUCAAACAAAAGCACUAUAUUAUCUCUUAAGCUGGGGUAAAAGCUAUGGCCAAGGAUGCACCAUUAGAGAUCAGAAAUGUUAAGUGGCAACAGUUUCCUUAUUCUGGACUUGAAGGAUGCAGAGCAAAUAUACCCAACUGACAUUUGGUUUGGAAAUAUUAUCCCAAAAUAAUGUUCUCUCUCUGGGUAGUAUGCACAUAUUGGAACUUUAUGGUAUUUGUAAAAUACUUGCAAUAAUUCUGCACUAGAACAGUGUAAAUCUGAGUCAGUUUCAUGUGCAUCAUAACACAGAAUGUAGUGGGACUUAAAAUAUUUAUAGUAUUGUGCUGUGUGAUAUCUUAAUGCCAUGCCUGCAUUUACAUUUCAGUUAAUGUUAUCCUGCCCUUAGGGAAAUCUCUUUUGCCCAAGAAUGCACUCUCUCUAUAACAAAUAGGAUCAAAAAAUCUCAAAAAAGAAUUGAACAGCAGUAACACUUACAGAAGGAGAAAUAUGUGAAUUCACCAUUAUCAAGAGUAGUGACCUAGAGAAGCAUUUUUGCACUUGAUUAAAACCAUUAUUAAACACUUGGACUAUAUAUGGUAGCAAAGCUUUAAACGAAAAAUGAGCACAGUAUAUAUUGUAUAGUGUGCUCCAUUGUUAAAACUUUCUAUGCAUUGGAAGUGUCUGAUGUGUCCAUAACAAUAUCUCAAGGCAUCUGAUCCCCUGUGGUUCAGAUUCCUGUUAGAAGGUCUCUGACCAUCUCCUGUGUUGGAAGACUCAAACAGUUAAGGGGAACCUGGACAAUUUAUAAUUCUUCAGAAGUGCCUCUUUUACAUCAUUUGAAAGAAAUUGGAGACAUAUCACCUCCAAGUA